ACGCCAGUCUGCAUGGAGCCGACCUUGAAAUACCACCCUUUAAUGUUUGAUGUUCUAACGUGGACCCGUAAUCCGGGUUGCGGACAGUGUCUGGUGGGUAGUUUGACUGGGGCGGUCUCCUCCUAAAGAGUAACGGAGGAGCACGAAGGUUGGCUAAUCCUGGUCGGACAUCAGGAGGUUAGUGCAAUGGCAUAAGCCAGCUUGACUGCGAGCGUGACGGCGCGAGCAGGUGCGAAAGCAGGUCAUAGUGAUCCGGUGGUUCUGAAUGGAAGGGCCAUCGCUCAACGGAUAAAAGGUACUCCGGGGAUAACAGGCUGAUACCGCCCAAGAGUUCAUAUCGACGGCGGUGUUUGGCACCUCGAUGUCGGCUCAUCACAUCCUGGGGCUGAAGUAGGUCCCAAGGGUAUGGCUGUUCGCCAUUUAAAGUGGUACGCGAGCUGGGUUUAGAACGUCGUGAGACAGUUCGGUCCCUAUCUGCCGUGGGCGCUGGAGAACUGAGGGGGGCUGCUCCUAGUACGAGAGGACCGGAGUGGACGCAUCACUGGUGUUCGGGUUGUCAUGCCAAUGGCACU
rnacentral:rRNA from 1 species